rnacentral:tRNA from 1 species
GGGUAUGUAGCAAAACGGUUAUGCACCGGUCUUUUAAACCGCGAUACGCAACUAUGCGGAGCAUAGUUUUUCAACAUCCUGUCAUGCCCA